rnacentral:rRNA from 1 species
UACGUAGGGCGCGAGCGUUGUCCGGAUUUAUUGGGCGUAAAGAGCUCGUAGGCGGUUUGUCGCGUCGUCUGUGAAAUCCCACGGCUCAACUGUGGGCUUGCAGGCGAUACGGGCAGGCUAGAGUUCGGUAGGGGAGACUGGAAUUCCUGGUGUAGCGGUGAAAUGCGCAGAUAUCAGGAGGAACACCGGUGGCGAAGGCGGGUCUCUGGGCCGAUACUGACGCUGAGGAGCGAAAGCGUGGGGAGCGAACAGG